AAGAGUGCUGGGGCGGUCAGAUCACGUUUCACAUCACAUCAGAGCUGUGGAAUUUCCUCUCUUCUAGGGGGAGCCCUGUGAAGAUGAAGUUGGUUUAAGCCUUGGUGAGCAAUGAAGAUUUUGAACACAGCACAGAUAUAUCUGAAGAAGGUGAACUGUAUGGGAUGCUGGGUGAAUGGAAGUGAAGGAGUUUACAAGUGGGGUUCCAGUUUAGACAAGAUUUCAGUAUGUCGCCCAGGCUAGUCUCAAACUCCUUGCCUCAAGCAAUCCUCCCACCUCAGCCUCCCAAAGCACUGGGAUCACAGGCAUGAGCCACCGUGGCCAGCCCUGGCCCUGGGACAUUUUAUAUAAAUAUGCUAAUAUGUGAUACAUGUCUUUUUACGGUGAAAUUAUUCUUAAGGUUUUUGGAGAGAAAAUGUAUAAAGGCUUUAACUAUAUAAAG